GGCGCUAUAGCCAAGUGGUUACGGCGACAGAUUAGAAUUGAUUUCAGAGUCGGACAUGUCUACCGAUCUGUUCCUCUUUGAGGGCGCAGGUUCGAAUCCUGCUGGCGUCG
rnacentral:tRNA from 1 species